AUGCUGGAGGUAUCAGAAGUGCGAAUGCUGACAUAAGUAACGAUAAAGCGGGUGAAAAGCCCGCUCGCCGGAAGACCAAGGGUUCCUGUCCAACGUUAAUCGGGGCAGGGUGAGUCGACCCCUAAGGCGAGGCCGAAAGGCGUAGUCGAUGGGAAACAGGUUAAUAUUCCUGUACUUGGUGUUACUGCGAAGGGGGGACGGAGAAGGCUAUGUUGGCCGGGCGACGGUUGUCCCGGUUUAAGCGUGUAGGCUGGUUUUCCAGGCAAAUCCGGAAAAUCAAGGCUGAGGCGUGAUGACGAGGCACUACGGUGCUGAAGCAACAAAUGCCCUGCUUCCAGGAAAAGCCUCUAAGCAUCAGGUAACAUCAAAUCGUACCCCAAACCGACACAGGUGGUCAGGUAGAGAAUACCAAGGCGCUUGAGAGAACUCGGGUGAAGGAACUAGGCAAAAUGGUGCCGUAACUUCGGGAGAAGGCACGCUGAUAUGUAGGUGAAGCGACUUGCUCGUGGAGCUGAAAUCAGUCGAAGAUACCAGCUGGCUGCAACUGUUUAUUAAAAACACAGCACUGUGCAAACACGAAAGUGGACGUAUACGGUGUGACGCCUGCCCGGUGCCGGAAGGUUAAUUGAUGGGGUUAGCGGUAACGCGAAGCUCUUGAUCGAAGCCCCGGUAAACGGCGGCCGUAACUAUAACGGUCCUAAGGUAGCGAAAUUCCUUGUCGGGUAAGUUCCGACCUGCACGAAUGGCGUAAUGAUGGCCAGGCUGUCUCCACCCGAGACUCAGUGAAAUUGAACUCGCUGUGAAGAUGCAGUGUACCCGCGGCAAGACGGAAAGACCCCGUGAACCUUUACUAUAGCUUGACACUGAACAUUGAGCCUUGAUGUGUAGGAUAGGUGGGAGGCUUUGAAGUGUGGACGCCAGUCUGCAUGGAGCCGGCCUUGAAAUACCACCCUUUAAUGUUUGAUGUUCUAACGUUGGCCCCUGAUCGGGGUUGCGGACAGUGUCUGGUGGGUAGUUUGACUGGGGCGGUCUCCUCCUAAAGAGUAACGGAGGAGCACGAAGGUUGGCUAAUCCUGGUCGGACAUCAGGAGGUUAGUGCAAUGGCAUAAGCCAGCUUGACUGCGAGCGUGACGGCGCGAGCAGGUGCGAAAGCAGGUCAUAGUGAUCCGGUGGUUCUGAAUGGAAGGGCCAUCGCUCAACGGAUAAAAGGUACUCCGGGGAUAACAGGCUGAUACCGCCCAAGAGUUCAUAUCGACGGCGGUGUUUGGCACCUCGAUGUCGGCUCAUCACAUCCUGGGGCUGAAGUAGGUCCCAAGGGUAUGGCUGUUCGCCAUUUAAAGUGGUACGCGAGCUGGGUUUAGAACGUCGUGAGACAGUUCGGUCCCUAUCUGCCGUGGGCGCUGGAGAACUGAGGGGGGCUGCUCCUAGUACGAGAGGACCGGAGUGGACGCAUCACUGGUGUUCGGGUUGUCAUGCCAAUGGCACUGCCCGGUAGCUAAAUGCGGAAGAGAUAAGUGCUGAAAGCAUCUAAGCACGAAACUUGCCCCGAGAUGAGUUCUCCCUGAGACUUAGAGUCUCCUGAAGGAACGUUGAAGACGACGACGUUGAUAGGCCGGGUGUGUAAGCGCAGCGAUGCGUUGAGCUAACCGGUACUAAUGAACCGUGAGGCUUAACCUU
rnacentral:rRNA from 1 species